rnacentral:rRNA from 1 species
CGUAUGUCGCAAGCGUUAUCCGGAUUUAUUGGGCGUAAAGCGCGUCUAGGCGGUUUGGUAAGUCUGAUGUGAAAAUGCGGGGCUCAACUCCGUAUUGCGUUGGAAACUGCCAAACUAGAGUACUGGAGAGGUAGGCGGAACUACAAGUGUAGAGGUGAAAUUCGUAGAUAUUUGUAGGAAUGCCGAUGGGGAAGCCAGCCUACUGGACAGAUACUGACGCUAAAGCGCGAAAGCGUGGGUAGCAAA